UUUGAAGCGAGGAAGCCGCGCGCCCUGCGAGUCCGGAGGAGGAAAUGGAGCUCUGCGCUGCCUGGGACCCGGGGGACGGGACCCGGGGGACGGCUCCCGUUGGCGCCGCCUUCAAGGUAAGGGAUUAAGAGGCCGAGAGAGAUAUCGUCUGCGAGGGUGAGGAUACUGGAGGUUGGCAGUGUCAGCAUCGCAAGAGUGCUCUACCAGAGGAGGAGGAGGAGGAGGAAGGAGCUGGGCAUAACUGGACCAUCUCGAUCCAGCCCGUGGGGAAUCCAGAGGGGAUAACAAGAGGAUAUAACCACAGGACAAUUCAUUAGGCUGUGUUUUGACGUUUCCUGAAUUCUAUUCCAAAUUAUUCACAAAGGCAUAUUAAAAUAAUUUUAUCUUACAAAUUCACAUAUUUAAAAUUUGAACAUGGAAACAGACUCUAGAUGACAUCAAAUAUUCCUUAUUAUGAUAUACAAGAACGUAACAUAUGCUAAAUAUUC
rnacentral:antisense_RNA from 1 species